UGGGGAAUCUUGCGCAAUGCGCGAAAGCGUGACGCAGCAACGCCGCGUGGGGGAAGACGGCCUUCGGGUUGUAAACCCCUUUCAGGAGGGACGAAGGUUCACCGGUGAAUAGUCGUGUGGAUUGACGGUACCUCCACAAGAAGCUCCGGCUAACUACGCGCCAGCAGCCGCGGUAAUACGUAAGGAGCAAGCGUUGUCCGGAAUCAUUGGGCGUAAAGAGCGCGUAGGUGGCUGUAUAAGUCCGUUGUGAAAGUCAAAGGCUCAACCUUUGAAAGCCGAUGGAUACUGUAGAGCUAGAGUACGGAAGAGGCGAGUGGAAUUCCUGGUGUAGCGGUGGAAUGCGCAGAUAUCAGGAGGAACACCAAUAGCGAAGGCAGCUCGCUGGGACGUUACUGACACUGAGGCGCGAAAGCGUGGGGAGCGAACAGGAUUAGAUACCCUGGUAGUCCACGCCGUAAACGAUGGGCACUAGGUGUGGGAGGUGUCGACUCCUCCCGUGCCGUCGCUAACGCACUAAGUGCCCCGCCUGGGGAGUACGGCCGCAAGGCUA
rnacentral:rRNA from 1 species